ACGCUCGACACCUACGGGAGACAGCAGUGAGGAAUAUUGGUCAAUGGACGCAAGUCUGAACCAGCCAUGCCGCGUGCAGGAUGACGGCUCUAUGAGUUGUAAACUGCUUUUGUACGAGGGUAAACGCAGAUACGUGUAUCUGUCUGAAAGUNUCGUACGAAUAAGGAUCGGCUAACUCCGUGCCAGAAGCCGCGGUAAUCUGAGCGGGCUGGCAAGGC
rnacentral:rRNA from 1 species